rnacentral:rRNA from 1 species
GACGAACGCUGGCGGCGUGCUUAACACAUGCAAGUCGAACGGAAAGGCCCUGCUUUUGUGGGGUGCUCGAGUGGCGAACGGGUGAGUAACACGUGAGUAACCUGCCCUUGACUUUGGGAUAACUUCGGGAAACUGGGGCUAAUACCGGAUAGGAGCUCCUGCUGCAUGGUGGGGGUUGGAAAGUUUCGGCGGUUGGGGAUGGACUCGCGGCUUAUCAGCUUGUUGGUGGGGUAGUGGCUUACCAAGGCUUUGACGGGUAGCCGGCCUGAGAGGGUGACCGGCCACAUUGGGAAUGAGAUACGGCCCAGACGCCUACGGGAGGCAGCAGUGGGGAAUAUUGCAAAAUGGGCGGAAGCCUGAUGCAGCAACGCCGCGUGCGGGAUGACGGCCUUCGGGUUGUAAACCGCUUUCGCCUGUGACGAAGCGUGAGUGACGGUAAUGGGUAAAGAAGCACCGGCUAACUACGUG